AACUUGAGAGUUGGAUUCCUACCAACAAGAGAUUAAUGUUGAAACUUCUACUGGAAAUCCCCUGACCUCUCAAGUCGAAACUCAGCGCUCAGCGUCUCACGCUGGAUCAUAACUUGAGUGAAUGAUUGUUCACCAACAGCCACAACACACAGUGCUUCCUGCCCAAGCCAAGCUCCUAAGAUCUGAGGAAACUUUUCAAGUAUUCUGCCUUGGAUUGGAAAGUCAAGGAAGAAGCUGGCCAUGUUUUCUGAAAACAAACAAACCAAGCCAAAACAACAACAACAACAACAACAAAACACUAGCUGUCACUCUCCCAAGGAGCUGUUAUUGCAAGUGAAAGAGAGAUAUGCUUAAUUUGCAGGAAACAUCUGAGCUGUGGUUAACUCUCUUCAUUCACUGCUGGAAGGACCGCAGGAAACUGUUAAAACAGUGAUAGGAAAUCAACCUACAUUUAACAUCAAAUAUAGAUCCAAGAUUAUUAACAGGCUGGAGUUGCACUGAGACACACUUGAAGACUGAAAAAAAUUAUAGCCCCGUUAUGACUGUUUUUUAAAAGUAGUCACUCAGGAACCCAAAAAUAGCCAGCAUUUGAAGUUGAGACCGCCUGACACAUCAGACUCAUUACUGUGAUCUAAGUACCAGCCUUUGAUACUAUUUGCAAUUCUCCAGUAGGCCAUUAAGAAAAGCUGGAUAAAAAUGAAUGCCCGUGAUACCAGUCUUGGAAGUGAUUCGCGAAUUUCCCUACUCAUGUUAUAGAAGGAGGCAUUUAUGAUGGGAUAUAGAAAAUUCAUAAGGAAGCCAAGCCAGGGAGUUACUACAAAUAUGCUUAACUCUUGGAGGCAGGACUGCAGGGACUGGCCAAAGCUGGUGGAAGGUUUUCACAGCAGAGUCUUAGGGGUGGAGCUGGUUGAAUAUGUAGGGGUAAGGAAGGGUUUUGCCAUUCUAGAUACAAUCUUGAAAUUUUCAAAGGAAGCCAUCAAAACUAAGCAAAAUAUUAAAAAACAGUGAUGAAAGGAAAGUUUUGAUUUUUAAAAAAAUGCCCAGGUUGUUUUUCUUAGAAUGUUAAAUAUUUGCAAUAUGUUUUCCAAAUAGAAGUGGACAAUGACUGUAUGGGUUCUUUAAUCAAUUGAAGGUUGGUGGUUCAGAAAAGGGAAAUGUCAGUCUCUAGAAUCAGCUCACAGGGCCUCUAUCAAAUGGUAUCCCAAUGGUAAAUAAGAAUUAGUACUAUGCUAAAUAGGUAGCCUUGGCAGAUAAUAUCAACUUAGAUAAGGACAAGCGAGUCAUAGGCAGAGCCGUAGCGACCUGUCCCCUGAACCCUUACCCAGC